GUGCAGCAGGCGCGAAUCUUCCACAAUGGGGAAACCCUGAUGGAGCGACGCCGCGUGCGGGAUGAAGGCCCUAUGGGUUGUAAACCGCUGUUCAGUGGAAAGAACAUCCUCCGGCUGAAUAGGUCGGAGGCCUGACGUUACCACUGCAGAAAGUCCCGGCAACUCCGUGCCAGCAGCCGCGGUAAUACGGGGGGACGAGCGUUGUCCGGAAUCACUGGGCGUAAAAGGGCGCGUAGGCGGCGAGGAAAGUCGAAUGUGAAAUCUUGCGGCUCAACUGCAAAACUGCGUUCGAAAACUUCCUCGCUUGAGUAUGAGAGAGGUGUGCGGAA
rnacentral:rRNA from 1 species